AGUGAACGCUGGCGGCAGGCCUAACACAUGCAAGUCGAACGGCAGAAGAGUAAUUGCUUGUGGUUACGGCGGGGGAGUGGCGGGUGGUGCCUGGGUAUAUGCGUGUUUGUGGUUGAUUACGUGCGGACGCAGGGAAACUUACGGCAUAAGUGCAGAGGGCCUACGUGGGAAAGCAUCGGACCUUACGCUCUCAGGCGAGCGUAUGUCGGAUUGGCUAGUUGGGGGGGUAAAGGCGUACCAGGGCGACGAUCCGUAACUGGUCUGCGAGGAUGAGCAGCCACACUGGAACUGAGACACGGUCCAGACUCCUACGGGAGGCAGCAGUGGGGAAUAUUGGACAAUGGGCGAAAGCCUGAUCCAGCCAUGCCGCGUGUGUGAAGAAGGCCUUCGGAUUGUAAAGCCCUUUUGGUGGGAAAGAAGGGCAGUAGGUUAAUACCCCGCUGUUUUGACGGUACCAAAAGAAUAAGCACCGGCUAACUUCGUG
rnacentral:rRNA from 1 species